rnacentral:rRNA from 1 species
GGAAUAUUGGUCAAUGGAGGCAACUCUGAACCAGCCAUGCCGCGUGCAGGAUGACGGUCCUAUGGAUUGUAAACUGCUUUUGUACAGGAAGAAACCGCUCUACGUGUAGAGCCUUGACGGUACUGUAAGAAUAAGGAUCGGCUAACUCCGUGCCAGCAGCCGCGGUAAUACGGAGGAUCCAAGCGUUAUCCGGAAUCAUUGGGUUUAAAGGGUCCGUAGGCGGCUUAGCAAGUCAGUGGUGAAAUCUCCCCGCUCAACGGGGAAACGGCCAUUGAUACUACUAGGCUUGAAUUAUUAGGAAGUAACUAGAAUAUGUAGUGUAGCGGUGAAAUGCUUAGAUAUUACAUGGAAUACCAAUUGCGAAGGCAGGUUACUACUAAUUGAUUGACGCUGAUGGACGAAAGCGUGGGGAGCGAACAGGAUUAGAUACCCGGG